GCACUAUCUAAAUGCGUGAAGUAAAUGUAUACGGAAGAAAAGCAGGUGCAUCAAAGAACACAGCCACAUAAACACCCUCCUGGGAUCACGGAAGGGGCCUGCGCAGGCCAGGGGCGUGAAGCUCCGACCCGAGCAGCCGCAGAGCGCCUCUGCCUCUGACAUGAACAGAGGGGUCAAUCGCUGCCUGUAUUUCCUCCAGGCAGUGGGGGAAGCAGGCGUGUUUAUGAUGACAAAGGCCUUACACCAGUGUCCCAGGCUGUCCUCACCAUCGCAGGAUGUAGAGCCAGCUCCCUCCGGGGACAGCUGUGUAGGUACAGCACCAUCACCUACGCACCUUUAAGAGUCAAGACAAAGGGUAACUAGUCUUUAACAGAACUUGGCAGUUACACAGAGUUCCUUCUAACUUUACUGUGAUGACUGGAGCCGCCAUCUAUGGUGCCUGAGUGGCCUUAUCCAGAGAAGAGAGAAACCUCUAGCAUCUCCGUGGUUGGAGAGCUUUGCGACUUGGACACCCACC